rnacentral:rRNA from 1 species
UACGGAGGAGGCAAGCGUUAUCCGGAAUUAUUGGGCGGAAAGCGUCCGUAGGUGGUUGGCCAAGUCUGCUGUCAAAGGGUGGGGCUUAACCCCAUAAAGGCAGUGGAAACUGGCGAGCUAGAGGGCGGUAGGGGUAGGGGGAAUUCCCAGUGUAGCGGUGAAAUGCGUAGAGAUUGGGAAGAACAUCGGUGGCGAAAGCGCCCUGCUGGGCCUGCACUGACACUGAGGGACGAAAGCUAGGGGAGCGAAAGGG